rnacentral:rRNA from 1 species
CGCCUGUUUAUCAAAAACAUUUCUUUAUAAAUAUGUUAAGUAAGGCCUGCCCGAUGUAAUUAUGAAUGGCUGCGGUAUUGUGACCGUGCUAAGGUAGCAUAAUCAUUUGUUUUUUAAUUGAAAACUGGUAUGAAAGGUUUAACAAAGAUUGAGUUUUUAAAUAUUUAAUAAAAUUUUAAUUAUAAGUAAAAAUGCUUAUAUAAAAUAAAGGGACGAUAAGACCCUAAAAGCUUUAUUUUUACAGGUAAUUUUUAUUUUGUUUUUAUAUAAAUUUAUUUAGAAAUUUUUAACUGGGGUAGUUUAUUUAUUUUAAUUAAUUUUAAUUAAUACUUAAUGGUUUUAAGAGCCUUUAAAUAAAGAUUAAUAGAAAAAGUUACUUUAGGGCUAACAGCGUAAUAGGUAUUAGAAGUUCUUAUUUAUAUAUUUGAUUGCGACCUCGAUGUUGAAUUAAUGACUCUUUAUAGAGCAGAAUAUAUAAAAAGAAAGUUUGUUCAACUUUAAAAUUAUUACAUGAUUUGAGUUCAAAUCGGUUUAAGCCAGAUUGGUUUCUAUCUUUUGUUUAUAUACUCAAUAAUUUAUUUAGUACGAAAGGAUUAAUAAAUUUUU